CUGUAUUAGAAACAUAGAGUUGCAUCAGAUGAUAUGAAUCUGAUCAGGGAGUGCAACUCAAUGCUGGUUGCAAUUACUGUAUGGCUGUCCACCUCUGGUUGUCCCAUACUCCUAGGGUGUAGACUUCUAGGAUUCCCACUGAGAUCCUGAAGUAUUUGCUAGAAUCCCUCUUCACUGAUAUUCCCAGGCUCUAAUUUCCAUAUCUUUAUCAUGGUCUGUUUAGUCAGUAGAGAAUAAAAAUACACUAAGCUUUUUUUUUUAAAAAAAAAUGCUUUUACCCUUGGGAGUGUCAUGAUCAGGACUAUAUAUGGAGGAGAUUUAGGGAGCUCAAAUAGGAGGUUAUAGUAAUAGUCUGGAUAUGAGUUAAUGAAGGCUGCUGAUACAGGAAGUUGGAAACAGGAAUGUACAUGAAGAGACAGAUACGGAACCUCUUAUGGAAGAAGAGAGGGAGGGGAUUAUCUACAAGAAGAAAAGUGGGGCUUUUGCUUUAUCCCCUAGUCCCAACACACUCACUGCGGACCAAUUAUUUUCACACACUAACAAGCGUAACCCUGGAACAUGAGGAUGUUGACAUGACCUGUAUACAGUUAUGAGACUGCUCCUGCCAAAGGGAACUCCCUAAACAGAGAAACAACGACCAGAAUAGUUCACGAAAAGCCUGGGCUGUUGGAAGUUAGGCCUUCUCUGGAAUUGCUCCCCGGAUACUGACGGCUCCAACGUUUCCAGUGUGCUAUGGUUGGAUCAGACAUUCUUCUCCAAGCCAAGAUUGCUUCCAACAGCUGGAGGAAGAGCCCCUCCUGUCCUCUCCACCUCCUCAGCUUCAUUUCUCACUGGAGACCAUCCGAAAGGGGAGUUUAAAAUUACUAACUGUCUUUUGGGUAAAUAGCAUUUACUUUUCCAGACUGAACUGCCAAAGACCUUAAGAAAAUUAAAGAAAGAAGAGAAAAACUGAGUUGCCAUGUCUGGUAAAUAGUGUUUCUCUAAUUAGAUGGCUGCAUGGUUAUUAACUAGAGCAGUUGUAUAUCCUGACGUAUGAUUUAUUUACCUUGGCACACACAGAUAGGGUGCUGAGCAACAGAGCCAAAUACGGUGACAGGGUGAGGAAAAUGAGAAGAUGCAAAACCAUGGUGAGGACUGAGUUCUGUACAUCUUACAGAAUUGGUUUUCCCAGAGGAGGGAAACAGGAAUAUUAUC
rnacentral:lncRNA from 1 species